CUGGCAUAAACAAACAAAAGCCCGCAGGAAUAAACACAAAGUCAAGUUUUGAACCCUCUGGAUCUCUGCUUCACAUAUCCUUCUCCUCCUUCCCUGACAGGCAGUCUGGCAGCUCCCAGCCUGUUGACAGGGCUCUCUCUUGUUCUUCCACCUUCCAUCCCACAGGAUCCCUAAUGCAUUUAGCACCAUGGCUUUCAGCUUCCUUAGCUUAAGGGCCACUACAAGUUUUCUGGCAGCAGCACGGACGUGGACUGUUGAAUGUCAGAGAGGAAAUUACUUUUCUUUGCAACCUUUUCACAAAUCCCUGCAGUCACUGGACCUCUGGGCCUGAAGGACCACGGAUUGAAAGCCCCUGACUUACCAGUCAGCACAUGAAGUUCACAUCAGCAGGUGGGUCCUCCCCACAUCUCUGCUUUGCACUGAAGCUGCUCUUGUGUUUGCAACCUGCUCUGCCAUUCCAUAUCUGCCAGACUUGCUGUGUGUGAAGGGAGAUGAAGAAAAUGAGUCUGGCCAAGAAGACAGAAGAGCUAGGUGAGGAGGCUACACCUGUGCUAGAGCACAGCCUGAAUCCAGCUGGAAGAGGUGGAGCCCUUCCAUGCCCCGUGAGAUCCUCCUCGACAGAGCUGAUCCCCCUCCAGCCCUUGCACUUCCCAUCCACAGAGCCAUUUGCCAAAUUUCUUGGACUGCUGUGUCCUCUAGGAAUAGGAAAUGUUAAUUAUUAUUGAUGACACCCUGUGACUUUUCUCAUUAAAAAUUCUAAUUAAUUGGAUUAUCGCUAUUUUCUCUCUUGGAGGUGCAUGGGGGUGGCAGAUAGGAGUGAUGGACAUUGCUUUCAAUACCGGAAAGGGAAAAGAGGGGCCUCAGGUGAUGUUAUUUGAGUAAUAGAAAGUGGCAGAAGUGACAGGAGAUCUGGGAGGCUGCUCCUAGAGGGAGCAGGGAUUAGCAAUGCCAGCACCAAACCCUCCACAGACUGGGUGGUGCAAUUUAAUGCAUCGCUUUGUUAUUUUCCAACUAUAAAGACAUAAAGGACUAAAACUAGUCCUGAGUCCUGAGACUCCUUAGCUCUUUGUCUGAAUCAAUGGUGAGUCUCUCCAGGUUUUUGGACAGGCCAGCAGAAAUCUGGCAGCAGAGUCUCUGCACAUGGCACAGAGCACCUUUGUCCCCAAUCCUUUGUCUGGUCAAACUCAGCCAGACAAUACAUGGAGAUGCCCAACACACCUGUCCAUCACACCAGCUCCUCCUUACCCUGGGCUUGGCAUGAGAAACUCUUCCUUGUGGUGAGACCCAUCAUUAAAUGUAUGGCACAGCACCAGCUCACCAAAAAUAGCUCUGCAGAAGGAGAGCAGCGUGCGCGGGGCCUGUGCGUGCUCAGAGUCUGUG
rnacentral:lncRNA from 1 species